rnacentral:rRNA from 1 species
CCCUAUGGGGUGCAGCAGGCCGGGUAAGGAGUUUUAUUAUAACAGCAUGAACACAUACAUGCUCUCAGCUAUAGUUAAGAAAAAAACGGGAAAGAACGUUUCUGAGUAUUUGACUCCAAGAUUAUUCGAGCCUUUAAAUAUAGAGGAUUUCUCGUGGGAAAAGUGCCCGAAGGGAAUAGAAAAAGGCGGCUGGGGGUCGGCUUUAACCGUAGCUGAUGUAGCUAAGAUAGGCCAGUUAUACCUGCAAAACGGAAAAUGGAAUGUAAACGGGAAAGAAAUGAGCCUUCUUUCAGAGGGGUGGAUAAGGGAAGCUACCUCAAACCAUAUAAACUCUGAUAAGGAAUUGGCGGGGGGGC